ACCUACGGGCGCAGCAGUAGGGAAUCUUCCACAAUGGACGAAAGUCUGAUGGAGCAACGCCGCGUGAGUGAAGAAGGGUUUCGGCUCGGAAAGGUCUUUUGGUAGUGAAGAAAGAUAGAGGUAGUAACUGGCCUUUUUUUGACGGUAAUUACUUAGAAAGUCACGGCUAACUACGUGCCAGCAGCCGCGGUAAUACGUAGGUGGUAAGCGUUGUCCGGGUUUAUUGGGCGUAAAGCG
rnacentral:rRNA from 1 species